ensembl:miRNA aca-mir-101-2 aca-mir-101-2
ACUGUCCUUUUUCGGUUAUCAUGGUACCGGUGCUGUAUAUCUGAAAGGUACAGUACUGUGAUAACUGAAGAAUGAUGGUGCCAUCACAAUGAG